GGAUUGGCUGUAAUGUCUUUCACUCCAUUGAUGGUCAAGGUUUAUUUAGCCAGCUGAUCUAUCUGGUUAGGGCGGGGAUUCCCUUACUCCUUUCUUCUCCAUGUACAUGGAGUAUUUGGGGUAAAAGAACAACCAUUCCAGACAGAGAAGGACUAUACUUUGCUCAAUGAUAUACAGGUAGCUAAACUACUAGAACUUUCAAUAAGGUCUGACAUACUAUGGUUCAAAUGAAAAGAGUGGGAGGCUGAGUCCUAAGUUUAUAACUAUGUUAACAAUGAACCUAACUCAACUAGACAAGGUCAGGAGAACUGCAGGUGU
rnacentral:snRNA from 1 species